GACGUAGGGGACGAGCGUUGUCCGGAUUCAUUGGGCGUAAAGCGCGCGUAGGCGGCGCGGUAAGUCGGGUGUGAAAUCUCGGGGCUUAACUCCGAAACUGCAUUCGAUACUGCCGUGCUUGAGGACUGGAGAGGAGACUGGAAUUUACGGUGUAGCGGUGAAAUGCGUAGAUAUCGUAAGGAAGACCAGUGGCGAAGGCGGGUCUCUGGACAGUUCCUGACGCUGAGGCACGAAGGCCAGGGGAGCAAACGGG
rnacentral:rRNA from 1 species